rnacentral:rRNA from 1 species
CAGCCGCCGCGGGAAUACGUAGGUGGCAAGCGUUGUCCGGAAUUAUUGGGCGUAAAGCGCGCGCAGGUGGUUUAAUAAGUCUGAUGUGAAAGCCCACGGCUCAACCGUGGAGGGUCAUUGGAAACUGUUAAACUUGAGUGCAGGAGAGAAAAGUGGAAUUCCUAGUGUAGCGGUGAAAUGCGUAGAGAUUAGGAGGAACACCAGUGGCGAAGGCGGCUUUUUGGCCUGUAACUGACACUGAGGCGCGAAAGCGUGGGGAGCAAACAGGAUUAGAGACCCGAGUAGUCCCUGUCCUUAUACA